rnacentral:rRNA from 1 species
GACGAACGCUGGCGGCGUGCUUAACACAUGCAAGUCGAACGGUGAAGCGCCUUCCUUUUUGGUGGGUGUGGAUGAGUGGCGAACGGGUGAGUAACACGUGAGUAACCUGCCCCCUUCUUCUGGAUAACCGCAUGAAAGUGUGGCUAAUACGGGAUAUUCUGGGUCUGUCGCAUGAUGGGUCUGGGAAAGAUAUUGUUUCGGUGGGGGAUGGGCUCGCGGCCUAUCAGCUUGUUGGUGGGGUGAUGGCCUACCAAGGCGGUGACGGGUAGCCGGCCUGAGAGGGUGGACGGUCACACUGGGACUGAGACACGGCCCAGACUCCUACGGGAGGCAGCAGUGGGGAAUAUUGCACAAUGGGCGCAAGCCUGAUGCAGCGACGCCGCGUGAGGGAUGGAGGCCGUCGGGUUGUGAACCUCUUUCGCCAGUGAAGCAGGCCUGCCUCGUUUGUGGGUGGGUUGACGGGAGCUGGAUAAGAAGCGCCGCUAACUACGUG